AUUCCAGCUCCAAUAGCGUAUAUUAAAGUUGUUGCAGUUAAAAAGCUCGUAGUUGGAUUUCUGUUCUCGAGGAUCGGUCCGCCUCACGGUGAGCACUGGUUUUUCUUGGGGACAUCCUCUCGAAGGCGGGUGGUGCACUUAAUUGUGUGCUGCUUGGAUUCGGGACCUUUACUUUGAAAAAAUUAGUGUGUUCAAAGCAGGCGUCGGCUUGAAUACAUUAGCAUGGAAUAAUGGAAUAGGACUUUGGUUCUAUUUUGUUGGUUUCUAGGACCGAAGUAAUGAUUAAUAGGGACAGUUGGGGGCAUUAGUAUUUAAUUGUCAGAGGUGAAAUUCUUGGAUUUAUGAAAGACUAACUACUGCGAAGGCAUUUGCCAAGGAUGUUUUCAUUA
rnacentral:rRNA from 1 species